AACCCUAAUCAAUAGACUUACGGCGUAAAACGUGUUUAAGAUACAAAACUAAUAAAGUUGAACCCUAGCUACGCUGUAAAAAGCCUCAGCUACUAUAAGCUCCACAACGAAAGUGACUUUAAAUUAUCUGAAUACACGACAGCUAGGGUCCAAACUGGGAUUAGAUACCCCACUAUGCCUAGCCUUAAACCUAAAGAAUUAAUAUAACUAAAUUCUUCGCCAGAGUACUACUAGCCAGAGCCUAAAACUCAAGGGACUUGGCGGUGCUUCAUAUCCUUCUAGAGGAGCCUGUUCUAUAAUCGAUAAACCCCGAUAGACCUCACCAACUCUUGCUAAUU
rnacentral:rRNA from 1 species